AACGAGCGCUGGCGGCAGGCUUAACACAUGCAAGUCGAGCGCCCCGCAAGGGGAGCGGCAGACGGGUGAGUAACGCGUGGGAAUCUACCCAUCUCUACGGAAUAACGCAUGGAAACGUGUGCUAAUACCGUAUACGUCCUUCGGGAGAAAGAUUUAUCGGAGAUGGAUGAGCCCGCGUUGGAUUAGCUAGUUGGUGGGGUAAAGGCCUACCAAGGCGACGAUCCAUAGCUGGUCUGGGAGGAUGAUCAGCCACACUGGGACUGAGACACGGCCCAGACUCCUACGGGAGGCAGCAGUGGGGAAUAUUGGACAAUGGGCGCAAGCCUGAUCCAGCCAUGCCGCGUGAGUGAUGAAGGCCCUAGGGUUGUAAAGCUCUUUCACCGGUGAAGAUAAUGACGGUAACCGGAGAAGAAGCCCCGGCUAACUUCGUGCCAGCCGCCGCCGUAAGAC
rnacentral:rRNA from 1 species